AUUGAACGCUGGCGGCAUGCCUUACACAUGCAAGUCGAACGGUAACAGGUCUUCGGACGCUGACGAGUGGCGAACGGGUGAGUAAUGCAUCGGAACGUGCCCAGUCGUGGGGGAUAACUGCUCGAAGAGCAGCUAAUACCGCAUACGACCUGAGGGUGAAAGCGGGGGACCGUAAGGCCUCGCGCGAUUGGAGCGGCCGAUGUCAGCUUAGUUAGUUGGUGGGGUAAAGGCCUACCAAGGCAACGAUCUGUAGUUGGUCUGAGAGGACGACCAGCCACACUGGGACUGAGACACGGCCCAGACUCCUACGGGAGGCAGCAGUGGGGAAUGUUGGACAAUGGGCGCAAGCCUGAUCCAGCAAUGCCGCGUGCAAGAAGAAGGCCUUCGGGUUGUAAACUGCUUUUGUCAGGGAAGAAAUCUUCUGGGCUAAUACCCCGGGAGGAUGACGGUACCUGAAGAAUAAGCACCGGCUAACUACGUG
rnacentral:rRNA from 1 species